rnacentral:rRNA from 1 species
CUAACACAUGCAAGUCGAACGGUAACAGGAUGUGCUUGCACAUCGCUGACGAGUGGCGGACGGGUGAGUAAUGCUUGGGAACUUGCCUUUGCGAGGGGGAUAACAGUUGGAAACGACUGCUAAUACCGCAUAAUGUCUUCGGACCAAACGGGGCUUCGGCUCCGGCGCAGAGAGAGGCCCAAGUGAGAUUAGCUAGUUGGUGAGGUAAAGGCUUACCAAGGCGACGAUCUCUAGCUGUUCUGAGAGGAAGAUCAGCCACACUGGGACUGAGACACGGCCCAGACUCCUACGGGAGGCAGCAGUGGGGAAUAUUGCACAAUGGGGGAAACCCUGAUGCAGCCAUGCCGCGUGUGUGAAGAAGGCCUUCGGGUUGUAAAGCACUUUCAGUUGUGAGGAAAAGUUGGUAGUUAAUACCUGCCAGCCGUGACGUUAACAACAGAAGAAGCACCGGCUAACUCCGUGCCAGCAGCCGCGGUAAUACGGAGGGUGCGAGCGUUAAUCGGAAUUACUGGGCGUAAAGCGCACGCAGGCGGUUUGUUAAGCUAGAUGUGAAAGCCCCGGGCUCAACCUGGGAUGGUCAUUUAGAACUGGCAGACUAGAGUCUUGGAGAGGGGAGUGGAAUUCCAGGUGUAGCGGUGAAAUGCGUAGAUAUCUGGAGGAACAUCAGUGGCGAAGGCGACUCCCUGCCCAAAGACUGACGCU